GAUGAACGCUGGCGGCGUGCCUAAUACAUGCAAGUCGAGCGAACAGACGAGGAGCUUGCUCCUCUGACGUUAGCGGCGGACGGGUGAGUAACACGUGGAUAACCUACCUAUAAGACUGGGAUAACUUCGGGAAACCGGAGCUAAUACCGGAUAAUAUAUUGAACCGCAUGGUUCAAUAGUGAAAGACGGUUUUGCUGUCACUUAUAGAUGGAUCCGCGCCGCAUUAGCUAGUUGGUAAGGUAACGGCUUACCAAGGCAACGAUGCGUAGCCGACCUGAGAGGGUGAUCGGCCACACUGGAACUGAGACACGGUCCAGACUCCUACGGGAGGCAGCAGUAGGGAAUCUUCAGCAAUGGGCGAAAGCUUGACGGAGCAACGCCGCGUGAGUGAUGAAGGUCUUCGGAUCGUAAAACUCUGUUAUUAGGGAAGAACAAAUGUGUAAGUAACUAUGCACGUCUUGACGGUACCUAAUCAGAAAGCCACGGCUAACUACGUG
rnacentral:rRNA from 1 species